GCGAACGGAAGCUGAACCGUCGUUCUUGUGCGUCUCGGGGCCGGUGACGGGAGUGAGUGACAAGCCAAGAAAAGUUAAGCGGAAAAUGUUUAAAGCACCUCAUGUGUCAUGUUAUAUGACAAUUGAUGAAAAUAUGUGAAAAAAUAUAACGAAAUUCAAUGGAAAUUUAAUUUGAGUGGAGAAAAGUUGAAGCAAAGCAACUAAAAAUACGGUGGCAACGUGCGUAAAUUGGCGUGAAUAAUUGUCUUCAGCAAAAAAUUGUUGUGGUUCUCCACAUUCACCAACUUUGGGCAGUUCUGGACAAAAAACUAAUGCAGAUAGAAUCCUAGUAUUUUGGGAAAAUAAUGUAUAGAUAGUUGGUAACAAACUGUGAAAUUUUCAUUCAAAUCAGACAACAUGCCAUUUUUGAAUUUCAGCCACGGAAAUCCCAAUGUGCGCCGCCUUAACUCAAUUUAAGUUUAACUAUCCAUGCACACAUGUACACACACACAUACAUGAAGAGCAAGCGAUUGUAUAGAUGUAUAGACUCCAGCAUAGUCCAGUUUGGUACUUUGCGAUACCAGUUGGAGGUCAGUUGCUAAGUCCAAGAGGAGUUGUCAUCGUUAAGGAUGAUUGCGCUUGACGCGAAUUUCAACAGACUCUACGGCCUCAGUAUCGAUACCGUCUCCAGUGUGUCAUACCGGGGGGAACCCAGAUGCUUACAGCGUAAUCUUACCAAAGCGGGAUAAGUGCACAAGAGAUGCUCCAUUGUUUCUCUGGUAACCAGUUCUAGACAUUUCCUUCAGUUUUCUUUUUGUGACUUUCAUGUAUCGUCGCCAGAGAGUGACCAGUUAGUAAUCCUAUCAUGUUCCUACAGUAACAAUAGGAGUUUUUGUACUUCCGAUUUACCGUUUGUUUUUUUUUUUUUUUUUGUUUGGCACCUUACUUGUGGCAACACUUUGCACUACCGCCUUGCUGACCAAGGCACUUCUGGCUGAUAUGCGAUACGAGGUUACUGCCUUGUUUGUCUGUCUACGUAGAGUUUGCCUUAUGCCUAACUCCGUAACUCCGUACCGGAUAUUCCAGCAUCAACUCCAUCUUCUAUCCUCGAAUCAUCCGUAUAGAUGUUCACGCCUCUAAGAUUACUUUUUAAAUGUGAUUUUCAAUGUGAUUUUAAAUGUGCUUUUUCUUUAUCCUAAUGGAGCCAACUCAGAGCUUCAUCCUUAGCAAUGCCCCAAUGUCAUAUUGGUUAAGCUAGGUUAGGUCGUAGGGUUGAACUCGUUUGGACAAAUGUCUUUUGUGUUACCCCUUUCCUCUUAGACUAACGAAGCGUUGAAUUUACCACAAAUUUGUGGUUAAAAUUAAGCCCAGCCACUAAUUUGCCGAAGUUGUGACUAACAAGAUAUUUCAAUCUCAGUGAGGUAAAAGUAAGACAAAA